GUAAUUAAAAUUAUUCCUGGUGCAAAAGUAGCUUCAGAUGGUUACGUGUUGUGGGGACAGAGCCAUGUAAAUGAGAGUAUGAUAACUGGAGAGGCAAGGCCAGUGGCUAAGAGGAAGGGUGAUACAGUAAUUGGUGGCACUGUGAAUGAAAAUGGGGUGCUACAUAUUAAGGCAACAAGGGUUGGAUCAGAGAGUGCUCUUGCUCAAAUUGUUCGACUAGUUGAAUCGGCUCAGAUGGCUAAGGCUCCAGUUCAGAAGUUCGCUGAUCGUAUUUCAAAAUACUUUGUGCCUCUGGUAAGUAUACAAUAAGAUUCACCAUGUUCUGCAUUUGUUCUAUAGAUACUUAAGAGUCUUAAGAAAAUGUAUGGUUUCUUGCUAAUAAAACAGUUUCUUUUAGGUCAUCAUCCUAUCAUUUUCGACAUGGCUUGCUUGGUUUUUAGCUGGAAAGUUCCAUGGCUACCCGGAAUCCUGGAUACCAUCUUCGAUGGAUAGCUUUCAGCUUGCACUACAGUUUGGAAUCUCUGUUAUGGUCAUAGCAUGUCCAUGUGCGCUAGGCCUAGCGACUCCAACUGCUGUAAUGGUUGGAACUGGAGUUGGGGCAUCUCAAGGAGUACUGAUUAAAGGGGGUCAGGCCUUGGAAAGUGCACAUAAGGUUAGCAUAUGCUGUCAUGUUGCUCUUUGCUACUUGCUACGCAUACAAUGACUGGAAUCGGUUUCUUAUGGUUGUGUACGACAAUCUUGUAGGUGAAUUGCAUUGUGUUUGACAAAACUGGAACUCUGACAGUUGGAAAGCCGGUAGUUGUUAACACAAAGCUUUUCAAAAAUAUGGUACUGAGAGACUUCUAUGAACUUAUUGCUGCAACUGAGGUAUGCUUUAUUUUCCGUGGAAAUCUUACCCUUUAAGAGAGUCCGUCAAGGUUGUAGUUGCUUAUAAUAUAACUAAUGAUAAUAUUUGUUGCUGUCUAUCUACUAGGCUAACAGUGAGCACCCAUUGGGGAAGGCUAUUGUUGAAUAUGCCAAGAAGUUCAGAGAAGAUGAAGACAAUCCUCUCUGGCCAGAAGCACAUGAUUUUAUCUCCAUCACUGGCCAUGGAGUUAAAGCCACGGUGCAUAACAAGGAAAUAAUGGUGGGAAACAAGAGCUUGAUGUUGGAUAAUAACAUUGACAUACCACCUGAUGCUGAAGAAAUGCUAGCAGAAACAGAGGGAAUGGCUCAAACCGGGAUCUUAGUAUCUAUUGAUGGAGAAUUGACUGGAGUUUUAGCCAUAUCCGAUCCACUGAAACCGGGUGCUCAUGAAGUCAUUUCCAUUCUAAAGUCGAUGCAAGUGAGAAGCAUCGUGGUGACAGGCGACAACUGGGGAACUGCCAAAUCCAUUGCCAAUGAAGUUGGAAUUGAAGAUGUCAUAGCUGAAGCCAAACCUGAACAGAAAGCAGAGAAAGUGAAGGAAUUACAGGUACAAUGCAAAUUAUCUGCAUCUCAUAUAUGCAUGUUUCGCACUUGUACGUAUCGAUUACAUACAAGAUUCAUUAUCUUGUUGACAGGCUUCAGGAUAUACCGUGGCAAUGGUGGGAGAUGGCAUCAAUGACUCGCCAGCACUUGUAGCAGCAGAUGUUGGAAUGGCAAUUGGUGCAGGCACGGACAUUGCAAUAGAGGCAGCUGAUAUUGUCCUGAUGAAGAGUAAUUUGGAGGAUGUGAUAACUGCUAUAGACUUGUCGAGGAAAACUUUUUCGCGUAUUCGUCUGAACUACAUUUGGGCUCUGGGUUAUAACCUUUUAGGCAUACCAAUUGCUGCGGGAGCCCUUUUCCCGACUACCGGAUUCCGUUUACCUCCAUGGAUUGCUGGAGCUGCAAUGGCAGCCUCUUCAGUUAGUGUUGUUUGCUGCUCUCUGUUGCUGAAAUAUUACAAGAGGCCUAAGAAGCUGAAUAAUCUUGAGAUUCGUGGAAUUAUGAUAGAGUGAUUUAUGAUGAUGGUUCUUGAUUUAGUGCCCUGUAAUGUACAUAUAUGUUAAGGUGAGAAACACCCUUGAAAUAAGUUAGCCAUCUUGUUUGUAAUGACGAUAUUGGCUAGAGUGGCAGUUUAUGUACAGUCAUUCGGUUUGUUUACGUAGGACUGUUUAAUGCUAAAUGAAUUUGUGGUUGGUAUACUCAAGUUGUAGUUUCUUUCGUAAUCGUCUCUUUUGAUCCUCUCUUUUGAUUCUCUCUUUCUCAUUGCAAGACUGUUGGCUGCUUCAAUUUCCGAAGACGAAACAGGCUUGAUAUGGUAGAUUUCAAUUUUAAGAAGGAUAAGGAUUAAAUAUAUAAAGUAAGUUGUGAGGCAAAUUCAGUUGCAAUUAAAAGUUACAAUAGUAAUAAAUUCUCUUCAUUUUAAUGCUUUUAUUCCCCCACACCUUAAAAAAAAAAAAUCAUGGGGAAUAUUGCCAAAAAAAAGAGUAAUUAAUUAAUUUUAAAAUUAUGAAACCAAUUUAAUUUUUAAAUUAUAAUAAUAAAUGUUUAUUAAAUAUUUUAAUAUUAUAAUUUUAAAUUACAGCUGUCUAACUUUUAACAUCAAACCGGAUCUACAGCAAAACAUACUAGGAAUAUAACAUUAUUGUGGAAAAAAAAGAAGAUGAGAGAGAGAAUGAGAGAUAGUAAACAAGGUUGAACUAUCAUGACGCAUCAAAAUUGGCGAUCCUGAUGGACUUUCAAAUCAACACUCUGCCGUCGAAUCAUCAUGAGCUUUCAGUCCUUCUGCCCUGACGCCAAAUUCUAAUUUACAAAGGAAAGAAAAGGGUAUUCGUAAAACAAUGAUACGAUGGCCCCCACUACCCAGCCCCAUGAGAUUAAAAAUAAUGGCUUUUUUUUUUUUUUUUUUAAACCGACUAAGACAACAGACUAUAACUCAUAUUAUAUAAUAUGAUUAUUAAUAUUUAUAAUUAAAUUAACACUCAUAUUUACAUGAGAUUAUUAUUAAGACUAAUUUUUAUAUAUUUUUAUAAAACAGUGCCCAUAUUUUUUUAUUCUCUCUAAUAUUUGAGGAACGUCUAUUCCACUCACAAUAAUAAGAAAAAAGAUCGACUUUCAAUCAAUUAUAAGUUAUAAUUGGUGAGGGCAGCAGCCCAGCCACUCGGCUAAAGGCCAAGUGACCCAAUGACUUUCUUGUUAAGUGCCCAACAAAUUUUCAUUUCCGAAUUUAUCCCAUCAUCAAUUUAUGAGUGGAGCUUGCAACGCCCUCAAGAAAUUUUAUUUUUUUGUUUUUAUAUUAUUUUUUAUAAAAUAAAAAAGAAAUAUAAGAUUACAAUAAAAUUUUAAUUUAAUUUUACUAUUAUUUAGAAUGUAUUUAAUUAAGUUAUAAAAAUAUUUUUCUUAAUAUAAUAAUAAUAAUUAUUAAGUAAUUUACUUCUUUAUUAUUUCAAAAUUAUUUUGAUUUUAUCUGUAAAUUAAUUAUAUCAUAUAUGAGGAUUAAAAAAUAUUUAAGGGUUCAUAAUUUCUAAAUAUAUCUCAGUUCAAUUAAAUUCAUAUUUUUCCUUUUAUGUAAAGUGUCGUUUUUAUUUUAAAUAGAUGCUAUUUAGAUAAAGUCGUAAACAUUGGUAGAAAAGUGAUAAAAUCAAUGCCAACCUAAUCUUUAUCGGUAAGGUGAGUUUUUUAUUUCUAAGGGUUGGCAUCACAAAGCAAAAUGGCAUGGUCGCAUUUGGAGGAUGAUGGGUAGGGAUGGCAAAAAUUCCCACGGAGAUGGAGGCUUUAAGAGAUUUUUCUUAUUCGGAGAGGGUAUAUGAACAAUUUUAUAUUUAAUUUCUUAUUUAGAGAAAUGACGAAAAUGAUUUAAUAUCCAAUAUCUUAUUUAUGGAGGAAAUUUAUAUUUCUGCUAAAAUUUUAUAAAUACAUUUAAAAUUUAAUUUGUAACGGUGUAAAUAACAACAAUAAUAAUAACAUCUAAUAUAAACACUUAAAGAUUGUCGAAGAUAACUUUGCUGAUACUUUAUACAGUAUGACUUUUAUGGAUUUUUUUAACAUUGAAAUUCUACUUUUGUUUAAUUUCAUAGACUGUAUUGUAAUUAUGAUGAUAUGUAGUUUGAUGGAAAUAAUUUUAAUUUCUUUAAUUUAUUUUUAUGCUUUUUUGUUGAUAGUACAAUUUUAUACUUUUACAAAAUAAUAUAGUUAAAUUAAGUUUAAAAAAUAAAAUUUCAGUUAUUCGGAGAUUGAGUAUUCUCGAUAAUCCCCUCUUGUCCCCUCAAAUAAUUUUAAAGAGGACCGAAAGGUAAGAGGAUAUGAGUAGAGUAUUAUGAAUGGGUACGAGGAAGUGGAUCCCUAGUGAUGUGUAUUAUAUAGUGGAAAAGAUAAGAGAAUAAUUAAGAUAUUAUAUAUGUAAAAUUCAAUCAUAAACUUAAAGGAGGUUGUUUAUAUUUUUUAAAAUGGAGCCAUCAUCACUCAUGCAUAUUAUAAAUAUAUAUUGUCUCGGGUUUGGUGGAGAUAAUAUAAUAAAGUUCAGAAGCAAUAUGCUAGCUUUUUAUAUACAAUAUCUGUCUGACCAUACCAAUAAAGUGUUGGCUCCACUGGCAAUGGAGUCCCCUUAAAUGGCUUGAUUGAGUUUGCUCCCCAGUUUGAGUCGCAGGGAAGUCGCCUUUGUUGAGAGAAUCUGUGCCUCCCGGUUCGAGCGGGGACUUCUAGUCUGAGUUGUGGUACGGGCUUAAAGGUGUCUCCCACAGUUGGGGCCCUCCCCAAGAUACCUCGUGAUUAAUAUAAAAAAAAAAAAUAUCUGUCUGACCAUGGGGAUUCUUUCAGCAUAAAUAGCGAGCGUUUAGUAAACUUAGUAUAUUAAAAUUUAAAGUUUCAGUCUGUACCUUAAUUACAUUUAUACUUAAAAGAAGAGUAUGGUGGUGGAUCGAUCGAACCUAGAGAAGUUUAUUAAUUCCACAAAAAUUAAAGUACAAUCAGACUCUCCACGUACUGUUUGACGAGAUUGAGUUAUUUAUUUUAGUUUAAGAAUUUGCUCGUGUUAGUGUGUUACAGCGCUGCAUGUCACAAAACAUACAGUCUCUCCCAAUAUUAAUAAACUUUUUAUAAUUUUAAAAGCAGACAGCACACGAUACGUCUUUGUUAUAUAUGCAAGGAGAAGAAAAGAAAAGAAAGAAAUUAAGCAAGUUACAAGUGAUAUAUCAUGUAAUAUUAAUAGGUGCGGUAAUGGCGACCAGCAAGUUGCUGGCAUUGGCUUGUAUACGAAACGAGAGUAGUAGUUAUAGGGACUUGUUGACAUCGACACCCAAGUUCCCGAAAGUUGUGUCGGGUCCGGAAAAGUCCUGCAGCAGAGCACUAUUAUUAUCGGUGAAGGGAAUGACUUGCUCGGCCUGUGCAGUGUCCAUCGAGAAAGCCAUCAAACGACUUCCUGGAAUACACGACGCCGUCGUUGAUGUCUUGAAUAACAGGGCUCAAGUCUUGUUCUACCCCUUUUUCGUUAACGUAAGUAAUUUAUAAUUAUAGUUAACAUAACUAAUGUUACUUUUAAUGAUCUUUUUUUUUUUUUUUGCAUUUGCAUCUCUCUUUUACAUGUAGCUUGUUUUGUUAGCUCUGCUGACAGCUGCUCCCGAAUUUCUUAAUCUUUGCUUCCGAAUUACUCAUAUUAGUUGAAUACAUAUAUAGGACAAACUUCUUAUUUUUUCAGGGCAUUUAGUUCCUCUCCAACUCCAUCCCAUCACUGUCGUAUUUGCUGGCUUUGAGAUUUGCGUUUUUGCUUCAUUUUGUCCAUUUUUUGCUUCUAAUUUAGGAUUGCAGUUUGUGAGGUCAUUUGGCAGCUGCUAUACGUUUGCUAUCGCAUUCAUCAUAUAAUUACAUAUCGUAUAAUAAUAAUUCUAAACCAUACUCAGUACUCACUUCAAGAGUGGUUCGUUCUUUAUUAUUAUUAUUAUUUUUACUCCUUAUCCGAGAUAAUAAGUGCAGCCAUGGUUCGAAUGAAUUUGGCUGGGACUGCAUAAGAUUGAAGUAUGGACCUCAGGUUUAUUCUUGAUAUGAGCCCUAAACCUCGGACGCUUUAGCCCUUGUUUGACUGAAAAAACUCACUCAUUUUUACAAGCCAUACUGACUGAUACUAACGUAAUUUACUCCACAAACAUACUUUUUCUAGCGAAACAAGAAAACGUUACCAUAUCAUAUUCAAUUAAUGUGUAAGGUUUUUUUUUUUUUAAUAUCGUCAAGGAGGAGACAAUUCUUGAGGCAAUUGAGGAUGUUGGAUUUAAAGCAACGCUCGUCCCUGGGGAAACAAUUGAGAAAUCUACUCAAGUAUGUCGAAUACGCAUUAAUAAACGAGCAUGCACUUCAUGCUCCUCGACUGUUGAAAAAACUUUUCAAGCAAUUCAGGGUGUACAGAAUGCCCAUGUCACCUUAGCUACUGAAGAAGCAGAAGUUCACUACGAUCCGAGAAUUCUGAGCUACAAUCAGCUUUUGAAAGCCAUUGAAGAUACUGGAUUUGAAGCUGUUAAGGAAGCUCAUUGAGCAUGUGUGUCAAUGAUGAGUCAGCAGUUAGUUCAAUGAUGAGUCAGCAGUUAGUUGGGUAAAGAAGCCAGCUCAGCAAAUCUGUUAAUCAUGUUUUACGUUCUGUUCUUAAGUUGUUAGUGAAGCUUUUAAUUCUGUUGAGAUAUGAGUUAGUAUAAAUAAGUUGUUAUUGCAUUUUGUAAAUAAUUACGUGAGAUUCAAUAAAAGAAGAAUAGUUUCUAAGGAAAAAUAUUGAUCAUUAUUUUCUUAGCUUCCAAACAACUUUUACAGUCACAAUUCAACUUUCAAACAUGGUAUCAGAGCCAGUAAGAGCAAGCUCUAGUGCUCAGCAAACAAAUCAACAAAGUCAAAUAAAUUUUUCUUUCAACACUCCAAUUAAACUAGAUCGAUCGAACUAUCUACUUUGGCGUUUUCAAGUUUUAGCUUCCAUAAGAGGCAAUCGAUUGGAAGGCUUCAUCAAUGGAACAAAACCAGCUCCUGAAGAACAGUUCACUCAAGUUGGAGCUGAUGGAUCUAUUCAGAAAAUUGAUAAUCCAGAAUAUCAGAAUUGGAGAUCACAGGAUCAAACAUUGCUUGGAUGGAUGCUAUCAUCAAUAAGUGAAGGUACUCUAAAUCUUGUCAUAAAUUGUGGUAGCUCGUUUGAUGUUUGGAGAACUUUAGAAAAGAAAUUUGGUGUGCAAUCUGAAGCUAGGGUUCUUCAACUUAGAUAUGAGUUAAACACUCUUAGGAAGGAAUCAAUGAGUAUUGAAGAUUACUGCAUCAGAAUGAAAACUGUAGCAGAUAAGCUUGCUAGUGCUGGAAGUCCUAUAACAGAGAAAGAUCUCAUGCUGACAAUUCUUAAUAGCUUAGGAGCAGGCUAUCGUGAUAUUGCUACCUUUAUAACUGGCUCAAAAAUGGACUAUGAUGAUGCUUAUGCAUUAUUAUUAACUCAUGAAACCAGACUUGAACAAGAGCAGAAUGAUAAAAGCAUGUUUAAUGCAAAUUAUGCUUACACAAAUGCCUAUUAUCCAAGGGCAUUCUAUGCUCAAUCUAGAAAUAAUUUUAGAAGAGGAGGAUAUGCUGGUGCUCAGUUUGGUAAUACUGGUAGAAAUCACACUGUUGGAAGAGGAAAUACUUUUCAGUCUCCAAGGAUGUUUAAUGGCAAUCACAGAGGUGGAUAUGGAAGAGGACACUCAUUUGGCCCAAAUAAUGUUAACUCUUUUCAUGCACCUAGGAAUCCAAUACAAUUUACUAGGACUGGAAUCACUAAUAUGAAUGGAUCUCAAGGAAUUCCAAGUAAUGCAGAAGAAUUGGUUUGCCAGAUUUGCUUUAAGCCUGGUCAUACUGCUGAUAUUUGUUGGCAUCGAUUUGUGGAGGAUUAUGUCCCUUCUUCAAGAGGUCUAGGCAGAGGAAAAGGACCAAGAUCAGCAUAUAUUGCUAACUUUGAUGGCUUUACAUAUCCAUACCAAGGUUAUGAUAACUAUGAUAAUCAUCCUGCAUCUGAGACAAGCUGCUAUUCUGGAAUUGAUAACUAUGCACCUGCAGAAGCUUAUGUGGCUAAUUUUGAAAGCUUUGCUGAUGAUGGCUGGUACUUGGAUAGUGGGGCAACUCAUCACUUGACCAACAACAUGGAGAACUUGCAUUUUAAGGAAGACUACAAAGGUACUGAUCAACUCAUUAUUGGAAAUGGUCAAGGUCUUUCAAUUUCUCAUAUUGGUCAUGCAUUUUUAUCAUUUAGAGCUUCAAAACAUCCUUACACACAUGCCUCCACUAUAGCACUUAAAGAUAUGUUACUUGUUCCUACAAUCACUAAGAAUUUACUAAGCAUCUCCAAACUUACAUCUGAUAAUUCACUCUCUGUUGAAUUUUUUGGAAAUGUCUGUUAUGUUAAGGACAUGAAGGGACAAGUUCUUCUGCAGGGCCUUGCUGAGAAAGGUCUUUACAAGCUGUUGAUGAAAUCUUCUUCCAUGUCAUCUUCAGCUUAUCAUACAUCACCUGCCUUUCAUCUUUCUCAACUUCAGUCACAUAAACCAAUAUCCAUGCUGUCAUGCUCAAAUGUGUCUUCUAUUUCUCAUCAUUGUAAUUUCUUUGAUAAGACUUGUUUCAGCUCAAUUUCAAAUAAGUGUAACCAGAAACAUGAUGAACUUACCUUGUUACACAGAAAGUUUGGUCAUCCAAGCUCAACAGUAUUGAUGCAUUUGCUUAAGACUUGUAAACAAGUUAAAGUCUCUCAAAAAUCAAUUUUAUCUCCUGAGCAUUCUAUGUGUGAAGCCUGUCAAUUAGGAAAAGCUCACAAGCAACAUUUUUCUACAACCGAAACCAAAACAACUCAAGUAUUAGAACUGAUACAUACUGAUCUGUGGGGGCCUUCACCUACUACAUCUAGAAAUGGUUUCAAAUACUACAUAAGCUUUGUAGAUGAUUACAGUAGGUAUACCUGGAUUUACCCACUCAAACUCAAAUCAGAAGUUUUUGAAGUCUUCAAAUUAUUCAAAAUCCAAGUAGAGAAUCAGUUCAAUACCAAAGUCAAGAUGCUGCAAUCUGACUGGGGGGGAGAAUAUAGAGUUUUUACUAACUUCUUAAACCAGAAUGGGAUCAUUUUCAGACAUUCAUGCCCUUACACUCAUCAUCAAAAUGGUCUAGUAGAAAGAAAACAUAGACAUAUAAUUGAGUUAGCUUUGACUCUCUUAGCUCAAGCUCAUCUUCCUUUUAAAUUCUGGUGGGAAGCUGUUCAUACAGCAGUGUAUCACAUAAACAGAUUACCAACACCUGUAUUGAAACUCUUAUCUCCAUAUGAGAAGCUCUUUAAGCAUAAACCAGAUUACAGCCUCCUUAAAUGUUUCGGUUGUCUUUGUUAUCCAUACUUGAGAGAUUUUAACAAACAUAAAUUUGACUUUCAUACCAGCAAGUGCAUCUUUAUUGGUUAUAGCUCAUCUCAUAAGGGAUAUAAAUGUCUUACAAGCUCAGGCCAAGUUCAUAUCCUUAGACAUGUUGUUUUUGAUGAGAGUGUAUUUCCAUAUACAACAUUCUCUGUUCCUUCUUCAUCUGAAAAUGUUGCCAACUCAGAAACACCAGUGUCAAAUUUCUCUAAACAGCAAGUCUAUCAUCUUUCAACUCUACCCUUAUUCAACAACAGCUUUGAAGAUACUUUCUCAGCAGGUGUGCCAAGUGAUGAACAAACUCCUGUUUUGCCUGAGCAUACAGAUAAUUUGCAUCAACAAGAAUCAUCUAGUUAUUCUUUAUCAGAACCAUCAAUAUCACAAGUUAUCCCUCAAAUCCCUGAAUCUACUCAAACACAACCUGAACCACAAACAAGCAAUCAACAACACUCUGAAUAUAAUCCAAACAGAAUCCAGAUCUCACAACCUACACACAAAAUGAUUACCAGAUCAAAGUCUGGAAUAUUCAAGCCUAAGUUGUAUACAGCCACCUUGAUCAACAAAGAACCUGACACAAUUCAAGAAGCUCUGAAUGAUAAAAAUUGGUAUAAGGCCAUGAAAGAGGAAUAUGAAGCUUUGAUCAGGAAUGAGACUUGGUCUCUUGUACCACCUCCAGCUGAAAACAAAAUAGUUGGAAACAAAUGGGUGUUCAGGGUUAAACAAAAUAGUGAUGGCAGUAUAGCAAAGUACAAAGCUAGAUUGGUUGCUAAAGGUUUCCAACAAACUGAAGGGAUUGAUUAUUUCGAAACUUUCAGCCCUGUUAUAAAGGCUUCCACAGUGAGGGUUAUACUAAGCUUGGCUGCAAUGCAAAAUUGGAUGAUCAGACAGGUAGAUGUUAAUAAUGCGUUUCUGAAUGGUGACUUAACAGAAGAUGUCUACAUGGGUCAGCCUGAGGGUUUUGUUGAUGAGAAAAAAUCAGGUUAUGUGUGUAAAUUGAAGAAGGCUUUAUAUGGUUUGAAACAAGCUCCCAGAGCUUGGUUUGAUAAACUAAAAGGCUGUUUGGUUGCAAACUGGGGAUUUCAAAAUUCCAGAGCUGAUACCUCACUAUUCUUUAAAGGAAAACAAGAUUCAAUGAUAUUAGUCUUGAUCUAUGUUGAUGACAUACUGAUAACAGGGCCUAACAGUGAUGAACUUGAAAAGUUUAUCUCAAACUUCAGCAAAGUGUUUGCAUUGAAAGAUUUGGGAAGACUCUCAUAUUUUCUGGGUAUAGAAGUAUCUUAUGCUGAGAACAAUAUUUACUUAUCCCAAAGAAAAUAUGUUAGAGACUUGCUAAGCAAAGCUGAUAUGCUUCACUGCAAAGGGUGUGAUACACCAAUGGUUACAGGGACAAAACUUCAAAAGGAAGCUAAGGGAUCUUUGGGUCAGCAUGUUGAAGAUGCAACAAGUUAUAGAAGUUUAAUUGGAGGGCUGCAGUAUUUAGUUUUGACCAGGCCAGAGAUAGCUUUUGCAGUAAACAAGCUAAGCCAAUAUGUUUCUGCACCUACACUACAACACAUCCUAGCCUGUAAGAGAAUGCUUAGAUAUUUGAAAGAGACAGAAGACUAUGGAUUAAAGUUUUCAGCUGAUGGAGAAAUAAAGUUAACAGGUUUCACAGAUGCAGAUUGGGCAUGUGAUAUUGAUGAUAGGAAAUCAACAGGUGCAUACUGUAUUUACUUGGGAAAUAACUUGAUCUCUUGGUCAUCCAAGAAGCAAUCCAUAGUUACAAGGUCAAGUGCAGAGAGUGAGUACAGAGCUCUUGCUUCUGCAAGUGCAGAAAUUACAUGGUUACAGUCAUUGUUCAAGGAACUCAAGAUUGAAUGUAUUUCAGUGCCUACAAUCUGGUGUGACAAUAUAAGUGCAACUGAGCUGGCUAGAAAUCCUGUCUACCACUCGAGAACCAAACACAUUGAAUUGGACAUGCACUUUAUAAGAGACAAAGUGUUAGCAAGAGAGCUGGAAAUCAAUUACAUUCCCAGUGAAGAACAGAUUGCAGAUAUCCUGACCAAGCCUCUCACAUUCACUCAAUUCAAUUAUCUCAGGAGCAAACUUAAUGUGCAGCCAUGCCCCUUAAGUUUGAGGGGGGCUGUUAAGGAAGCUCAUUGAGCAUGUGUGUCAAUGAUGAGUCAGCAGUUAGUUCAAUGAUGAGUCAGCAGUUAGUUGGGUAAAGAAGCCAGCUCAGCAAAUCUGUUAAUCAUGUUUUACGUUCUGUUCUUAAGUUGUUAGUGAAGCUUUUAAUUCUGUUGAGAUAUGAGUUAGUAUAAAUAAGUUGUUAUUGCAUUUUGUAAAUAAUUACGUGAGAUUCAAUAAAAGAAGAAUAGUUUCUAAGGAAAAAUAUUGAUCAUUAUUUUCUUAGCUUCCAAACAACUUUUACAGUCACAAUUCAACUUUCAAACAGAAGCCAUACCAAUCAGCACAGGAGAAGACAUCGUAAGCAAGAUCCAUCUUCACCUUGAUGGCCUAUAUACUGAUCAUUCAGUGACAAUGAUUGAAAGUUCUCUUCAAGCGCUCCCCGGCGUUCUUGACAUUGACUUGGAUCCUAGCAUACAUAAAAUUUCCAUUUCUUACAAGCCAGCCAUGACAGGACCCAGAAACUUUAUAAAAAUGAUAGAAUCAACUGCUUCUGGGCAUUUUAAGGCCAGAAUAUUUCCUGAAGGUGAAGGAAGAGAAGCACAGAAACAGGCAGAGAUUAAGAAAUACUACAGAUCAUUUCUAUGGAGUUUGGCUUUUACAAUUCCUGUUUUUUUAACCUCCAUGGUCUUCAUGUAUAUCCCAGGAAUCAAGAAUGUACUGGAUACCAAAAUAGUUAAUAUGCUUACCAUUGGAGAGAUUAUAAGGUGGGUGCUAUCAACUCCUGUGCAGUUCAUUGUAGGCAGAAGAUUCUACACCGGUUCUUACAAAGCUUUGCGCAUUGGUUCUCCUAAUAUGGAUGUUUUGAUUGCCCUGGGAACUAAUGCCGCUUACUUUUAUUCGGUUUACUCAGUGUUGAGAGCAGCUCUUUCUCCAUAUUUUAUAGGUAAAGAUUUUUUCGAGACUAGUUCAAUGCUUAUAUCCUUUAUUCUGCUUGGAAAAUACCUAGAAGUUCUAGCCAAGGGAAAGACAUCUGAGGCUAUUGCCAAGCUUUUGGACUUGGCACCCGAAACAGCGACACUGCUGACUAUGGAUGAGGAAGGCAAUGUGAUAAGCGAAGAAGAAAUUGAUAGUCGAUUGAUACAAAGGAAUGAUGUAAUUAAAAUUAUUCCUGGUGCAAAAGUAGCUUCAGAUGGUUAUGUUUUUUGGGGAAAAAGCUAUGUGAAUGAGAGUAUGAUAACCGGAGAAGCGUGGCCAGUGGCCAAGAGGGAGGGUGAUACAGUGACCGGUGGCACUUUGAAUGAGAAUGGGGUGUUACAUAUUAAGGCAACAAGGGUUGGAUCAGAGAGUGCUCUUGCUCAAAUUGUUCGACUUGUCGAAUCAGCUCAGAUGGCUAAGGCUCCAGUUCAAAAGUUCGCUGAUC
rnacentral:lncRNA from 1 species